AUUGAACGCUGGCGGCAGGCUUAACACAUGCAAGUCGAGCGGGGUGAUGGUGCUUGCACUAUCACUUAGCGGCGGACGGGUGGGUAAUGCUUAGGAAUCUGCCUAUUAGUGGGGGACAACAUCUCGAAAGGGAUGCUAAUACCGCAUACGUCCUACGGGAGAAAGCAGGGGAUCACUUGUGACCUUGCGCUAAUAGAUGAGCCUAAGUCGGAUUAGCUAGUUGGUGGGGUAAAGGCCUACCAAGGCGACGAUCCGUAGCUGGUAUGAGAGUACGACCAGCCACACUGGGACUGAGACACGGCCCAGACUCCUACGGGAGGCAGCAGUGGGGAAUUUUGGACAAUGGGGGCAACCCUGAUCCGGCCAUGCCGCGUGUGUGAAGAAGGCCUUCGGGUUGUAAAGCACUUUCGGACGGAACGAAAUCGCGCGGGUGAACAUCCCGCGUGGAUGACGGUACCGUAAGAAGAAGCACCGGCUAACUACGUGCCAGCCGCCGCCGUAA
rnacentral:rRNA from 1 species